CCUACGGGUGGCAGCAGUGAGGAAUAUUGGUCAAUGGACGAGAGUCUGAACCAGCCAAGUAGCGUGAAGGAUGACUGCCCUAUGGGUUGUAAACUUCUUUUAUAAAGGAAUAAAACGAGGCACGUGUGCCUUUUUGCAUGUACUUUAUGAAUAAGGAUCGGCUAACUCCGUGCCAGCAGCCGCGGUAAUACGGAGGAUCCGAGCGUUAUCCGGAUUUAUUGGGUUUAAAGGGAGCGUAGAUGGGUUGUUAAGUCAGUUGUGAAAGUUUGCGUCUCAACCGUAAAAUUGCAAUUGAUACUGGCAGUCGUGAGUACAGUUGAGGUAAGCGGAAUUCGUGGUGUAGCGGUGAAAUGCUUAGAUAUCACGAAGAACCCCGAUUGCGAAGGCAGCUUACUAAACUGUGACUGACAUUGAUGCUCGAAAGUGUGGGUAUCAAACAGGAUUAGAUACCCGUGUAGUC
rnacentral:rRNA from 1 species